rnacentral:rRNA from 1 species
GAUGAACGCUAGCGGCAGGCUUAAUACAUGCAAGUCGAGGGACAGCACAGGUAGCAAUACUGGGUGGUAACCGGCAAACGGGUGCGGAACACGUACACAACCUUCCUUUAAGUGGGGGAUAGCCCAGAGAAAUUUGGAUUAAUACCCCGUAAUAUAGUUGAAUGGCAUCAUUUGAUUAUUAUAGCUACGGCGCUUAAAGAUGGGUGUGCGUCUGAUUAGAUAGUUGGCGAGGUAACGGCUCACCAAGUCUACGAUCAGUAGCUGAUGUGAGAGCAUGAUCAGCCACACGGGCACUGAGACACGGGCCCGACUCCUACGGGAGGCAGCAGUAAGGAAUAUUGGUCAAUGGACGCAAGUCUGAACCAGCCAUGCCGCGUGAAGGAUUAAGGUCCUCUGGAUUGUAAACUUCUUUUAUUUGGGACGAAAAAGGGUCUUUCUAGACCAACUGACGGUACCAGAUGAAUAAGCACCGGCUAACUCCGUG